rnacentral:rRNA from 1 species
UACGUAGGGGGCAAGCGUUGUCCGGAAUCAUUGGGCGUAAAGAGCGUGUAGGCGGCUCGAUAAGUCUGUUCUGAAAGUCCAGGGCUCAACCCUGGGAUGCGGAUGGAUACUGUCGAGCUCGAGUCCGGAAGAGGCGAGUGAAAUUCCUGGUGUAGCGGUGAAAUGCGCAGAUAUCAGGAGGAACACCAAUGGCGAAGGCAGCUCGCUGGGACGUGACUGACGCUGAGACGCGAAAGCGUGGGGAGCAAACAGG